AAAACCUGCACCCACACUGGCCCGGAUAAGAUCAGACACCCCUGAUCUAAGAGAAAAGCCGUAGGUCAGUUAGCGUGUUCGUCAGUUAGUCUUGGUGAUUUUACAAUUCUCUUGGUUUGGAACGGGGUUUUUUUUUUGCUAAUCUCAGUGAAUUUAGUUGUUUUUGCAAACAUGUUCAGAGAUAUUUCAAACAGUCAAGAAAAGAUGGAAGCUUAGUCUUCUCAGACCAGUAUCUCAGAUCCGUGUGUUCACGUCUACGCCAGGAAGGAAGAAGAAAGUGAAUAUAAAGAAAGGGCGCGUGAUUGGGCGCAGAUUUCCGGCACGGUGAGAAGGGUGGAGCUGCUGUCCUCUGUGCUGUCAUUGUAGCGUCCUCUGUCUCCAUCACGCAGCACAUAACAGAUGGGUAGAAGCAGGGGGUCUGAGGUCUCACACUCGUACACUAAUCCCUGGAGGGAGGGAUAGGUAGAGGACAAAAGGAGAGGAAGAUGUUAAGGAGAAAGGGGUUAAGUGAGAUCUAGGAAAGAGAAUGAGAAGACAAGACAGAUGGAGAGGUUACAGUGGUGUGUGUGUGUGUGUGUGUGUGUGUGUGUGUGUGUGCGCGCUCACACAGCAGGCAGAUCGAACCCUAGAUGCCUCUAGUUUAAUCCCCGAAUCCGCAUCUUUAUUAACACAUGCUAGACAAAACACAGACUCUGUCUAAUCUAAAACUUGCUUUCUCUGUUCGCCUUGACCCUCACGUCUCCACCUCGCGUCUCGACACAUCUGUGACCAGGAAGUCAGUAACCGAGCAGAAGAGCACGCCACUCGUUUCACUCCAAAUUUCACAGCCAAAUUAGAAAUGGAUUGCUUCUUGUUCGUGUGCCGUACACACACAAACACGCUCGAGGUUUAGAGCUCAGGUUAAGAGCAAGCACCGUAGCAGGAGAAGAGAGGAGCUUCAGCUCAACAACCCGGCUAUUCAAUAUUCAUAAUUCAUAUUCAUAACAUCAUUAUUGCAUAACUGCUUGAGAGAGAGAGAGAGAGAGAGAGAUGGAGGAAGGGUAGAAAGGGGGGACAAGACAGAGACUGGAGAGAGACUGAGUUGGAAAUGGAGAGAGAUGGAGACAAUGGGAGGGCAGAUUGUGUGAGAGAGGGACAAGACAGAAAGAUGAAGACUAGAAUGAGGGGGAGAGAGAGACAGUGAGUUGGAGACCGAGAGAUGGGACAGAUGGAAAGAGAGAGACGGGACAGAGUGAGAGAUGGUGUGAGACAGGACAAAGGACAGAUUCGGGAUAGAUGGAGACAGGGAAACACAAAGAGAUUGAGAGUGUGAGUCAGGAUAGAGAGAACACACAGAGCGAGAGAUUAACAGAACAAUGAGAGAGAGAGAGAGAGAGAGUGACUGGUGGGGGUCGGGUGCACUGGUGUGCGUGAGAGAGUAAGAGAGAGCGCGUGAGAGUCACUUUUUUAACUCUGACCGUCUCAGAAGCACGUCUAGACCACUAAUCAAGCAGCAAUUAAAACGAGCCAUGUCUGGUCUAAAGCUGAGGAUAACGAGUAGAUGAUUAGUUAAGAACUUAAUUGUCACAUACACCAUUAUUAUUUUAGUUUAGUGUAACAUAUCCUCCUGCCCCCCCACGCCUGGGGUUAUAUUCGUGGUAUUCAAGUUGUGGUUAUUUAUUAGCAUGUCGAGCUGCUUUAAUUGUGUGGGCAUGUGAAGCUUGCGGAAGAUGAUGAAUCGGAGCGUUGUGUGUUUUAGGAGCGCGCCGAGCACCUGUCCGACUCGUCCAGACCACAUUCCCGCCUUCCCUCCUCAAGUAUCUACAAAACGCUGACUCUCCACUCAUCCACUGCUCAAGUCUCGGUCCUGUGACUGCGUUUUGGCUCGAUGAACGAGGCCAGAGCCUUGAACUGCGCUUCACCCUGUAGACCAAUAAACAAACCCACAUCACACUGACAGGCCGCGCAGGAGCUCCUCUAGACCUUCAGCUGUCCCGAUCAGGGACGUACCAAUCCCAUUCCUGGGGGUGGACACAUCAUUAAUUCAUUAGCAGAGCAGAGCGCACAGGUAAAGUUCAAGCUCCAGUGUGAUGUUUCAGUGGAGUGUAAACCUCACUGACCAGGCUGUUCAAGUUUAAGGAGCUAGUUAAGUCCAUGAACAAGUAUGACGAUAACAUCACGAUUCUCAAAAAACAUUCCUGCAACGAUACAGGAUAUAAAAUAUAUAUAUUUAAAAAAAAAAAAAAAACAAAGCUUGAAACACAGAGCGGAAAAUUAGUUUGUAAAAAUAUUAAAAUGCAGAAUUUUAAUCAUUUAAAAAAAUGCAUGUACGGAAGUAACAUCAGCACAUGCGCUCCCCGUGAAGUUGUAAUCUAAUCAAACUCAUAUAAAAAAUAUUAUACAUUUUAAACAACAGGAAGUUGCAUGUAGUGUGGCAAGUCUAUAGGAUGUAUCUUUUUGGACAGAUGUUAAACGCGCACAAGCCACAACCAUAGCACUCGCGCCACACACACACACAUACGCACACACACAAGAUACAAGCGACGUGUAAUCUGUGAGGUGACGAUCGGAGAUAAGCUGCACUCUGCUCUGUCGCUGUAGUGAUAUGACUGGCUGCCUCUCGCUGGCGCUCUGGGGGAUCGGCUGACCCAUUUUGCUUUCAGCUCUGAAGUUAUUUUUGCAUAUUAGUGCAGUGACAAGUCUGCGGGUGGAUAUGAGCUCGUCUGACACCUCCGAAAGAGGCUCUCUUAAUGGGGGCGUGGCUCUCGUAAAGGGGGUGUAGCUCUCUCAACGGGCCUGAGCAGAGACGCUGUGUUCAGAUCGAAGAGAUAUUCAGCUGUCUACUGCAGCACUUGUGACAUUUCACCGUAGAUAUAUCCAACUCCUAUCACCUUAAUAUCUCACUCUCUCUCACACACACACACCUGUGAGUGUGUGUAUGCAGGUUCAGCAGUGUUUGUAGAAGAUGCUGCAGUCUCCUGAGACGUGGAUGAGCCAGACUGCAGGCAGGAGCUGACCUGCUUACGCUCGCCACUUUCACCACCGCAUUAAAACACACCGUAUCCACCUUACAGACUUCACACCGUGCAGUGUGCCGGAUUUCAUUUACACACCAUUUUAGCUACAGGAUUUAAGGAACUACGGCGCCCUCCGUUAAUAUUGGCACCCUUGAUAAAUAUGAGCAAAGAAGGCUGUGAAAAAUUCUUUAUUGUUUACACUUUUGUUCAAAACAUUCACAAAAAUACUCUGCUCUCGUAGAUAUCGAACAAUUGCAAGCACAACAGAUAUUUUUAUUUUAAAAACUCUUUAAAUAUUGGUGUGCAACAAUUAUUGGCACCCCUGUGAAUUCAUGAGAGAAACAUGUUAGAAGUAUAUUCCCAUUGAUAUUAAAAAAACUAUUUUUAGUGCACCUGGGCGACUAUGAACAGGAAAUUGUUCUACCAUGACUUCCUGUUUCACAGGGAUGAGUAUGAGGGAACAUGUAGGCCAAAUUUCAUUCAUAACGAUGGGUGAGAACAAGGAAUAUAGCUGUGAUGUGCAGCAAAAGGUUGUUGAGCUUCACACAAUGGGGCGUGACUAUAAGAAAAUAGCACAAGCAUUGAAAACGCUCAUUUCCACCAUCAGGGCAAUAAUUAAGAAGUUCCAGUCGACUCGAAAUGUUAUGAAUGGACCUGGAAUUAGACGUGUGUCUGUAUCGUCUCAACGCACUGUGAAGAGGAAGGUUCGAGUGGAUAAAACAUCUCCAAGGAUCACAGCUGGAGAACUGCAGAAGUUAGUCGUGUCUUGGGGUCAGAAAGUCUCCAAAACUACAAUCUGAAGUCACCGACAUCACCACAAGCUGUUUGGAAGGGGUUCAAGAAAAAAGCCUCUACUCUCAUCCAAAAACAAACUCGAGCGUCUUCAGUGUGCCGACACUACUGGAACUUCAAAUGGGACCGGGUUCUGUGGUCAGAUGAAACCAGAAUAGAGCUUUUUGGUAAUAAACACAGAGGUGGUUUUGGAGCACACAGAGAGGGAGCCGUAUGGAAAAGUCCCUCAUGCCCACGGUUAAAUAUGGAGGUGGAUCUUUAAUGUUUUGGGCUGUUUUUCUGCCAGAGGACCUGGACAUUUUGUUAGGAUACAUGGCAUCAUGAACUCUAUCAAAUAUCAACAGAUAUUAAAUGAAAACCUGACUGCCUCUGACAGAAAGCUUCAAAUGGGCCGUGGUUGGAUCUUCCAGCAGGACGAUGAUCCAAAACAUCAACAUCAACACAGAAAUGUUUUACUGACCACAAAAUCAAGGUCCUGCCCUGACCAUCCCAGUCCCCUGACCCGAACCCCAUAGAAACCCUGUGUGGUGAACUGAAGAGGAGAGUCCACCAGCGUGGACCUGAAAUGUGAAGGAUCUGGAGAGGUUCUGUCUGGAGGAACGCUCUCAGAUCCCUCGCCAUGUAUUCUCCAACCUCAUCAGGCGUUAUAGGAGAAGACUCAGAGCUGUAUCUUUACUUUCUCUAAAAUAAACGUAUCGUUUUUAUUAUUGAUC
ensembl:lncRNA